UGGCUCUCGCAUCGAUGAAGAACGCAGCGAAAUGCGAUAAGUAAUGUGAAUUGCAGAAUUCAGUGAAUCAUCGAAUCUUUGAACGCAACUUGCGCCCUCUGGUACUCCGGAGGGCAUGCCUGUUUGAGUGUCAUGAAAUCUCAAUCCCCCAGGGUUCUGCUCUGAGUGAUUGGACUUGGGCGCUGCCGGUCCGCCGGCUCGCCUCAAAUGCGUUAGUGGGAUCAGCAUCCUCGAUCGGCGUAAUAAGUUUCGCUGAGAAGGGACGCGGUAAGCCCGCUCACAACCCCCUCCUUACGGAGAACACUCUUUGAUCUGACCUCAAAUCAGGUAGGACUACCCGCUGA
rnacentral:misc_RNA from 1 species